rnacentral:lncRNA from 1 species
UCAAAAGCAAUGGUUCAAAGGAGAUCCACAUUGAUGAACUCCAGGAUUAACAAGCAAACAGACUGGCUACUCUGCUGAGUUACUUGUGCUCACUGCUUCUCUUUGCACAUUUGGAGGGUGUCACUGAAUACAAUUGGAAACAUUGGUUAUUUUACCAAGGCUUUGGCUGGAGCAUCAUAUUUGAAAAUGUGCAUAGACUACUGGGUUUUUUAGCCUUAUGAAAAGAAGGCCCAGAAACUUUAAAUAUAUUUUAAAGAUCUGAAGAAGAGAAGAAUUCAUCCAAACCUAUUGGCAUUACAGAACAAAAACUGCCCUUUUCCGGAAGCCCUGCAAGCUGAAGCUGGACAACUUAAUCUAGACUUAAAGAGAACUCACCACCACAGCUUACGUAUGGACAACUUUUGUGCCUGUUGCUGUGAGCUGCUCAGACAUCACUGGAAACAUUCAAACUGCAAAAGAUGCUUCAAAGUCAGAUGGACCCACCGGGACCAGCAACUCUUCCGUGGCUCCCACCCAGAAGCCAACUGAGUGCACCAGGACCAGCUUCCACACCCCGAUGGUUGCAUCCCCAACCAAUCAGCAGUACCAAUUCCCUAGUCCUCUGUCUGCCAAACUAUCCUUGCAAAACCCUAGCUUCCACAUUUUCGAGGAGGAUGAUUUGAGUAAUAAUAAAACUCCCAUCUCCCCUUUAGCCAGUUCUCUGUGUAUUAAACUCCUUCUCUUUUGCCAUUCCCCUGUCUUGAAAAAUCUGCUCUCUCUGGGUAGUAGGCAAGAUGAACACAUUGAGCAGUUACCUAAUGAUAAGAAUGUUCAUAUCUGUGCUGCCCAAAGUGGUAGCCAGUAGCCACAUGUGGCUGCUGAGUACUUGAAAUAUGAACAGUGUGGCUGAAGAACUUAGAACUGAGUUUUUAAUUUAAUUGUAAUGGCUAAUGUUUGGGACAAUGAAGAUGGAGAUAGACAUUUGCAUCAUUCAUAAAAUUAAAUUCCUCCUCUAAACUAUUCA